GAUGAACGCUGGCGGCGUGCUUAACACAUGCAAGUCGAACGAAGCACUUUAUUUGAUUUCCUUCGGGACUGAUUAUUUUGUGACUGAGUGGCGGACGGGUGAGUAACGCGUGGGUAACCUGCCUUGUACAGGGGGAUAACAGUUGGAAACGGCUGCUAAUACCGCAUAAGCGCACAGCAUCGCAUGAUGCAGUGUGAAAAACUCCGGUGGUAUAAGAUGGACCCGCGUUGGAUUAGCUAGUUGGUGAGGUAACGGCCCACCAAGGCGACGAUCCAUAGCCGACCUGAGAGGGUGACCGGCCACAUUGGGACUGAGACACGGCCCAAACUCCUACGGGAGGCAGCAGUGGGGAAUAUUGCAAAAUGGGCGAAAGCCUGAUGCAGCGACGCCGCGUGAGCGAAGAAGUAUUUCGGUAUGUAAAGCUCUAUCAGCAGGGAAGAUAAUGACGGUACCUGACUAAGAAGCACCGGCUAAAUACGUG
rnacentral:rRNA from 1 species